rnacentral:rRNA from 1 species
AGUUUGAUCCUGGCUCAGGAUGAACGCUAGCGGCAGGCUUAAUACAUGCAAGUCGUGGGGCAGCAGGUUUGUAGCAAUACAGAUGCUGGCGACCGGCAAACGGGUGCGGAACACGUACAGAACCUUCCUUUGAGCGGGGAAUAGCCCAGAGAAAUUUGGAUUAAUACCCCAUAGUAUAAUGAAGUGGCAUCACUUUAUUAUUAAAGAUUUAUCACUCGAAGAUGGCUGUGCGGCUGAUUAGGUAGUUGGCGGGGUAAAGGCCCACCAAGCCUGCGAUCAGUAACUGGUGUGAGAGCGCGACCAGUCACACGGGCACUGAGACACGGGCCCGACUCCUACGGGAGGCAGCAGUAAGGAAUAUUGGUCAAUGGAGGCAACUCUGAACCAGCCAUGCCCGCGUGGAGGAUGAAGGUCCUCUGGAUUGUAAACUUCUUUUAUAUGGGACGAAAAAAGGCUUUUCUAAGUCGUCUGACGGUACCAUAUGAAUAAGCACCGGCUAACUCCGUG